AGGACGAACGCUGGCGGCGUGCUUAACACAUGCAAGUCGAGCGGUAAGGCCUUUCGGGGUACACGAGCGGCGAACGGGUGAGUAACACGUGGGUGAUCUGCCCUGCACUCUGGGAUAAGCCUGGGAAACUGGGUCUAAUACCGGAUAUGACCUGCUCUCGCAGUGGGGGUGGGUGGAAAGAUUUAUCGGUGCAGGAGUGGGCCCGCGGCCUAUCAGCUUGGUUGGUGGGGUAAUGGCCUACCAAGGCGACGACGGGUAGCCGACCUGAGGAGGGUGACCGGCCACGACGUGGGACUGAGACACGGCCCAGACUCCGUACGGGAGGCAGCAGUGGGAAUAUUGACACAAUGGGACAAAGCCUAGAUGCAGCGACGCCGCGUGAGGAUAGGAACGGUCCGUUCGGGUUAGUAAACCUUCGUUCAGCGAGGACGAGCG
rnacentral:rRNA from 1 species